GUGUCAGCAGCCGCGGUAAUACAGAGGGUGCAAGCGUUAAUCGGAAUUACUGGGCGUAAAGCGCACGUAGGUGGUAGGACACGUCUGAUGUGAAAGCCCUGGGCUUAACCUGGGAAUGGCGUUGGAAACGGUUUUACUCGAGUCGGAGAGAGGGUAGUGGAAUUUCCGGUGUAGCGGUGAAAUGCGUAGAGAUCGGAAAGAACACCAGUGGCGAAGGCGGCUACCUGGUUCCAGACUGACACUGAGGUGCGAAAGCAUGGGGAGCAAACAGGAUUAGAUACCCUGGUAGUCC
rnacentral:rRNA from 1 species